UACGAAGGGGGCUAGCGUUGCUCGGAAUGACUGGGCGUAAAGGGCGCGUAGGCGGAUGGCACAGUCAGAUGUGAAAUUCCCGGGCUUAACCUGGGGGGCUGCAUUUGAUACGUGUUGUCUAGAGUGAGGAAGAGGGUUGUGGAAUUCCCAGUGUAGAGGUGAAAUUCGUAGAUAUCGGGAGGAACACCAGUGGCGAAGGCGGCGCCUGGGCCAAUAUUUGACGCUGAGGUGCGAAAGCGUGGGGAGCAAACAGGG
rnacentral:rRNA from 1 species